UAAUUUUCCUUUUUCAAGUCCCACGUAAAGUGACACUCCAGUCUCAUCAACUUCUCCCUAAUUAGAUUAAUUGGAAAAAGAUACGGUGUCAUCCCCAGCAGCACGUGGCUUUGUAUGUGCAUGCUAUUCAUUUUACAGAAGCAUAAUGCACCGUGGUAUUUUAGGACAUCCUAUAACAACUGAACUGUGGAAUUAAAUCAUAAUGGCCAAACUCUAUUAACUGUAGGCUAAGCAAAGGAAAACAGUUGAUGCCAACAUUGUCAUGGAUGCAGAGAUUAGUACCCAAGCCAUGUUUGAUUAAAUUAUUCAAAUGUUUUAACUCACAGCUUCCUUGCCAGAGUUGUGAAUAACAAGUCAUUUUAUUCACAAAAUAUCAAUAAAUAAUUAAAUAGGUAACUGUAAGGGUGCAUGUUAACUAUUGGGUCACGUCCUUCAUUGAUCCUAUAGCCUAAAUGCUUCUAGCUUGCACCUCUGCCGGUGGUACAGGGACCAAUACAAUCGAUUGCAAUAAAUUGACCUUUUCAAACAAAGUGAAGGUAAUCCCGCUACAAUUUAUUAUUACGACGUACAGACAGUAGGCUAGGCUACUUUUUGGUCAGUUUCGGGGACUUGUUGCAAAAAUUACGAUGCAGCACGCAGCCACGCCCUUUCCCAAAUAAGGUGUGACCUCACCCGCAGGAAGGGGAGGGCUUGCGGGAGGCAGGUGUGGUGGCGGGAGUUCAAACGUUCUUGUGAAUCGUUUGUGCCUUCGGUUUGUUUGUAUAUUCAAACAAAUAGACCUAUUUUGUUUAGUGAUAGGAUGGGGGUCUCAAACAAAGGACGUGUGUAUGAAUUUAGGCUGAUCUACUUUAGUUAGUGUUCUCGUUUGCCUGGGUAAACACCUGCUUUCGUAGAACGGACCUUCGUUAAGUAUCAAACCACUGGAAAUAUCUUCGUUCCGCGGUACUGUAGUAUGUUCUUCGGCUUGGACCGUAAUAGGAUCAUAACCGUAUAAACAAUCUAACUCAUCCAAUAUUGAGAAAGGAGAGGUGCCCCUGGCCUUGAAGACUGGACUGGCGUGGGCUCGAGGACAGUUUCCCGCAGCUACGGAAAUCCCCCAUCAGAUGAGCAUCUCUUUUGCCAGGACCUGAGGACCAAGAAACCAAGAAAAGUAUGACGAUAACUAGCCGCUUAACUAGCUAGCUUAUGGAAAGAAGCUUGAGGACAAUGCGCGUUGCUGCUUUUUUAAAAAUCCGGACUGGAGGCAUUCUCUCUCCGGAUGUGAACAAAUCGCAAGACGGACCUGCCCGUGUUUCUCGCGUCCUCCCGUAGAGGUAAUUGAUACAGCGCUGAUCAGUCACACUGUCAUAAAAACACAAUGGGUAAUGGCCCAGCGCCGUCUUCCUUCUUGUUUUACAAGACGUUGCGCUGUCUGCGGGGCGGUUAUAUUACCCCAGAAAUGAAGACAGACCUGUUUCACCGGCAACUGUAUAUAUUUAUUUUUCUGCUCUAUAAUCCCAUUUGUUCUGAAAAGAAAAGUCCAGAUACAGACUGAUAUAUUUUCUGGAUGGAUACAUGGAGAGAAAAGAGAGAUGGAUAGAUAGACAGAUAUAUAGCCUGACUUCUGUCUCAGUGUCGCCACGGUAACAAUACCACCGCUAUUAAACUUGUUUUGAAGACUUUUAUUAAACUUAAUACUUUUUAUUAAA